UACGUAGGGUGCGAGCGUUAAUCGGAAUUACUGGGCGUAAAGCGAGUGUAGGCGGUUUGCCAAGUCCGUUGUGAAAUCUCCCGGCUCAACUGGGAGGGUGCGGCGGAAACUGGCAGGCUAGAGUGCGGAAUGGGAGAGUGGAAUUCCUGGUGUAGCGGUGAAAUGCGUAGAUAUCAGGAGGAACACCGGUGGUGAAGACGGCUCUCUGGACCGCUACUGACGCUGAGCCUCGAAA
rnacentral:rRNA from 1 species